rnacentral:tRNA from 1 species
AUCGUAGUCUAAUGGAUAGAACGCAGGACUCCGACUCCUGUAAUGUGGGUUCGAUUCCCGCCGGUCG